AGAUGAGUGUUUACCAAUUACUGUAACUAUAUUAAUUUAAAAAAUAGUGUAAACUAUUUAUGAAGUCUCUAAGCAGCCUCAUCAAUUUGAAAAGUACGUGUUAUGCUCGCCUCAAAACAGAGUCUUUUGGAAAACUAAGAAUCAUAGUAGUCAAUAACUAUCCUAGAUUGAGGAAUCUUUUCCCAGUUCAUGUGGCCAAAUAUAUCUUCUUGCACCUUCAGGAACUAGAAGUGGAGUCCUGUGGAUUAAUGGAGGAGAUAUUAGUGGAGGAAAAAGAAGAUAGUAGUUUCCCAUUGAAUGUUGUCAAUUACAAUCCUCGAAAUUAUCAUCUCUUCCGCAGCUAGUCUGUUUCUCCUCUGAAAGCAACAUGUUAGUUACAUCUAUGCAACUGUUCAAUUGGAAGGUUGUAUUUCCCAAUUUGAAGGAAUUGUCAAUAAAUGACCUGUCUAAGCUGACAAGCAUAUGGAGUUCUUCAAGAUUAUCAGCCACUCAUGAUCAUUGGUUGGAUAUCUUUCAAAAUCUGUGUAAAGUAGAAAUCAAGAAGUGUACGAAUCUGAAAUAUGUCUUUUCAACUUCUGUGGCCAGAUGUCUUGAGCAGUUGAAGAACCUGGGUGUAGAGAGUUGCAAGGAGAUAAAGGAAAUCAUUACAAUGGAAGAAGAUGAUCAGGAUCAGAAACUAAUCCUUGAGUUCAUGUUCCAAAAACUACAUAGCUGCCAAAACUUAGAAAGUUCUAUCCAGGAAUGCAUACUUCCAAGUGGCCCGCAUUGAAACGUAUUGUGAUUUUUGGAUGUGAGAAAAUGGAAAAUUUGCAGCCCGUUUUUCAACUUUCCAUCACACUACUACUCCUUCUUUCUUUUUCAUUGAAAACAUAAACAUUUUUAUUAAAUUGGAAGAAUUCUUACUUUGUGCCUUUGACACAUAUAUGCAUGUAUGAUAUAAUGUGUUAAAUAUUUGAUCAGGAUUCAUUCCCCAAGUUGAGUCAAAUGUCGUUUAGCGGAAAGGAGAUUUUAUACAGUCCACUGCCUCCAGCAGAGUGUCUUCCCACACUAGGAGGUCUUAAUCUGUCUUGUGUACACUUUACAUCAGCUGAUUUUCCAUUUGCUUCUCUUGACAAGUUACCUUGUCUACAGCGUAUGCUUGUCUACCAAGCUUUUACGAAGUUUUAUUCAUCAAACAACAAACACCUAAUGGGCAAAUUAAUAAUGGAGGAGACUUCGCAGCUUUAACAAGCUUGAGGCUUUUUAAAUUACCCAAGCUGGCGUAUCUGUCAAACGCUAACAAGUCCAACUCCAACUCCAGCUCCCACCAUGUAGCAGAAGAUCAUCGGCCAGUUGUACUUUUCCCAAACUUGAAAUCUCUGAAAGUGGACGAAUGUCGUAGAUUGAAGAAUCUAUCAUCAUCAGCAAUCUCAUUCCACAAUCUAACAUGUUUGUCUAUAUGUCUAUGUCAAGGGAUGAGCUAUUUGUUUACUGAUUCCAUUGCUGCCACUGGUUUGAGCCAGGUCACAACUUUGUGGGUUCAAAGAUGUAAAAGGAUGACAGAAAUAGUAUCUACCACCAGCAGUGAUCGAGAUGGGGAUGAAGACCCACUAACAGCAUUAGCAGCAGCAACUGUGGAAGGAAGUAUAACAAUUUUCAGCCAGUUGAAAGAUUUGUCACUGAUAGAUCUACCAUGUCUUUCAGGGUUUUGCUCCGGAAAUUCGAUGCUUAAUGUUGAACUUCCAUCCUUGGAAACUUGAAGCGUUUCUGAGUGCUGCCUUGACAUGGAGAUUUCCCCUGAUGGAACACUCAUUGUAACACUUGAUUCUACAAACCAAGCUCAAAGACUAGCAUAGCUAGCAGAAGAAGGUGAAGAAGAAGAUGAUGAAAAUGUUGUACGAGACUAUUAGAUGAAAUGCAUUAUUCAUUCCCUAGUUACUUAUUGUAAGGUAACAACACGUAUUAGGUGAAAAGCUUGAAUAUUAUUAUUAUCAGUAAUACACAUAUAUACUCUGUACAGCAACUGAAAAAUAGAGAAGAUAAAGAUACAAUAACUAUCAGAUAUACAUACACAUACAGGAGCAUAUAAGAGAUAGAUACAAAAUAACAAUCAUUAUCCUUUUAUGCCCCCGCAAGAUGAGGGUCGGUCAAGGACACGAAUCUUGGAUUGGAAAGAUUGAAAGAGUUGACGACCAAGAGGCUUUGUUAAGACAUCUGCAAGUUGGUCGUUAGUUGAAAUAUGUGAAAACUGAAUGGAGCCAUACAAGUAAUAUCCAAUUAAGAGGGCGUCAAAUUGUUUUUUCCAAGGGAAGUUGGUGGUUGCCGUGAGUUUGAGGAGAGACUGUGUAGCAACGUUGAUCACAAUAAGAGUUCUAUUGGCAAAGGAAGCGUCAUUGGUAAUAUGGAAUCCAGAUGGAGAAGAAAGAGUGAUCUGGAAGGGAAUAGAAGAAACGAAAAGAAAAAAAAAAAAAAUAAAUAAAUACUCAUUUGAGUUCCAGAAGGCUCUGAUACCAUGUAAGGUAACAACACGUAUUGGGUGAAAAGCUUGAAUAUUAUUAUUAUUAUCAGUAAUACAAAUAUAUACUUUGUACAGCAACUAAAAAACAGAGAAGAUAAAGAUACAAUAACUAUCAGAUAUACGUACACAUACAGGAGGAGCAUAUAAGAGAUAGAUACAAAAUAACAAUCAUUACCCUUCUACUUAUCACUAAAUUCUCUUCUCUAUUUUUUUAAUAUUUUUUUUUCCAGAUACUUCAAAAUUUCUUGAUGUAAAAGAUAAAUGAUCAUUUUCUUAUACUAAUUUGUACAUUUCUUUGUAUGUUUGUUUGUUCGUAGUAAGCAGGCACUGAAUGAUUUCAAAAGUGAGCUGACUAAUUUGAAAAUACAUCCAGGAUAUAUAAGUCUUUGGAUGCCGAUUUAGCUCACUUUGCUCUUUGAAUAUGGCUGUAAUAAAGCAAGAAAUGGUUAUUUCUUAAUAUUUGUGAGGGAGAUUGUGAAUGAGACCAUUCGAUCAAAUUGGAAGAUCUUUGUACUCAUUAAUUAAUUUAUUUUCUGUAUACGAGUUUCAUAGUACGGCAACCGAAGGAA